ACGAAUCGGCACGAAUGGCGCGCUGACGCGAGCGGCAUUUCUUCAGUAGAUGCGGAACUGUUUGAGAGGACGCAGAGAAAAAUUAGUGUGGGUGAAGUAACAUAAAUAGCGGAACAGCGGGGCUACCCUUUACAAGUACCAUCAUCGGCCACCGGCACUUGUCUCCGCAGCAUUAUGGAUAGCUUACGCUAAUGCAUCCGCUCUUUCAGUGUGAAUCUAUAAACCCGCGGUAGACCCGUUUCAUGGUGAACAGAUAACGACGGUUUUCUUGGCAAAAACCGGCACCUUUCAUGUUCCACGACUCGAGGCACUCAUCCUGGUCAGCGGGGACAUUGCAUUACGCCGGGUUUUAGGCAAUUUGACAGAGUGAACUAGAGGGGAAGGCUGUCUUUUAUUAUGACUGAAAUCGAUUCGUCAGAGUGACCUUUUUCUUCCUAGACUUCUAUCAGUCGAAUAAGAAAGCUGUACCUUCCGUGUUGACGAAAAUUCGAAAAUCGAAGCUACAAUCCGUUAAACUUCACCGGUUGCGACUCAUGACAUUGGCGCGGCGGGUCGCAAGAUGAACCGAGACAACUGGGAAUAACACAUACCUGAUUCAAAACAGGAGAAAAAAUGUGGUUGGAAAGUUGACAUCCAAGAUGUGUUCAUAAACAACGCAGCCAUAUUCGCAAAAGACAUUUCCGAGAAUCGAUAUUUCGCCCGAUUAUAGAUCGCGAAUUCAAAUCGAAUGAUUGGGCGUGAGGUUUUGGAAACUCUUAAGACAAUCGACUUUGGAAAAGUUCCACACACCCUCUCAGAGUUGUGGAACGUAACUGAGUUAGGCCCAAGAAGAUGAUUCUCGGCUCUUGAAGAAUCAGUGCAGCGUCCGUCGCGUCAAUUUCACAGCUCGUGCGUUGAUUGGUGGCCGUGGCCGCCCUCACGCAUCGUCGCACCGCCUACGUGAACUCGAUUGGCUGGGUUUCACGAUGCCAGGGGAGGCAAGGGGAAUCUCGGAAUCAGAAACGUCGCCAAAGUCACGUGUGGCGCGUGUAUAUAAUACGCAGGCGACGAAACAUAACACUUUGACAAACGCAGAGAAAGAGGAAAAAAGAGAGAAGAACGAGAGAAAUGAUACCAGAGAAGGCGUCACCGAUUUCGACGGCUGUAAGUCGUCGUUAAAAAUUGACAAGUAUCAAAUGACUUCGUCGAGAUCGUUAUCGCCAUUUCCAUCAGACACCGACCCCUGCACGGAUUUGUAUCGCGUGUUCACGCGGUCUCGUCAUACGUUCCCGUUAUGAGUAUCGUAUGCGAGACAGAGAACAUGGAAUUGUCACCAGAAAUUACAGAAUCCGGCGACAGACGGACGAUCGUUAAUAGUUUGUUCUCGAGGCCACGGGGAAAAGACAGUAAAAUUACACAGAUACUCUCAAUAAAAUUCUUCAUGUAAUUACCAGCGAUAAAGUUUUACUUAGGAACUUGUUAAAAUUUUGAAUUGUUUAUUAUACAAUAAGAAAUAAAUUAACAUAUUUC